GGUUUAGUAAGUUCCUGGUAAAACCGGGCAGCUUAACUGUCCGUAUGCUAGGAAUACUGCUAUGCUAGAGGGCGGGAGAGGUCUGAGGUACUACAGGGGUAGGGGUGAAAUCUUAUAAUCCUUGUAGGACCACCAGUGGCGAAAGCGUCAGACUGGAACGCGCCUGACGGUGAGGGACGAAAGCCAGGGGAGCGAACCGGAUUAGAUACCCGGGUAGUCCUGGCCGUAAACGAUGCAUACUAGGCAAUGGUGCGGCCAUGAGCCACAUCAGUACCGUAGGGAAACCGUUAAGUGUGCCGCCUGGGAAGUACGGUCGCAAGGCUAAAACUUAAAGGAAUUGGCGGGGGAGCACCACAAGGGGUGAAGCCUGCGGUUCAAUUGGACUCAACGCCGGGAAACUUACCAGGGGAGACAGCAGAAUGACAGUCAGGUUGACGACCUUACUCGACGAGCUGAGAGGAGGUGCAUGGCCGUCGCCAGUUCGUGCUGUGAGGUAUCCUGUUAAGUCAGGCAACGAACGAGAUCCGCGCCUUUAUUUGCCAUCAAGAAGUCACGACUUCGUUGGGAACUCUAAAGGACCGCCGUCGAUAAGACGGAGGAAGGAGCGGGCAAAGGCAGGGCUGU
rnacentral:rRNA from 1 species